rnacentral:misc_RNA from 1 species
CCAAUAGCGUAUAUUAAAGUUGUUGCAGUUAAAAAGCUCGUAGUUGAACUUCGGGGUCUACCCAUUGGUCAGGCUUAAUUGUCUGCACUGGUGAGAUGGAUCUCUACCUUCUGAGGAACUUUCAUGCCAUUUAUUUGGUGUGAUGGGAAAUCAGGACUGUUACUUUGAAAAAAUUAGAGUGUUUAAAGCAGACUAUCGUCUGAAUACAUUAGCAUGGAAUAAUGAAAUAGGACGGACUGAUUCUAUUUCGUUGGUUUCUAGGAUCAACGUAAUGAUUAAUAGGGAUAGUUGGGGGCAUUAGUAUUCAAUUGUCAGAGGUGAAAUUCUUGGAUUUAUUGAAGACUAACUACUGCGAAAGCAUUUGCCAAGGAUGUUUUCAUUAAUCAAGAACGAAAGUUAGGGGAUCGAAGACGAUCAGAUACCGUCGUAGUCUUAACCAUAAACUAUGCCGACUAGGGAUCGGACGAAGUUAAUUUUAUAAUGACGCGUUCGGCACCUUACG